rnacentral:ncRNA from 1 species
CAUGGCCCAUGAGUGCCAAAGAAAAAUUUCAUGGAAGAAGAUCUUAUAAUUUGGCAUUGGACCAUGGAAUAGGCAUUGAGAACCAUCAUUGGUGUGACAAUCCUUGAAAUGGUUAUCAUGUCUCACUUGUAAGCUAAAGAUUCAUAAUGUAAGGCAUUUGUGGUGGUUUGGGGUACUUAUGCAGCUAAUUUCUGCACACUUAUCCCGCACAACCACAAAUAUAAAUGAUAACACACCUAUAAACAUAAGCAUAAAUGCACCUAACCUAUUUAAUUACCCACACAUCUUAUCUAAGCAUCUUAUCUAAGCAUCAUUGUAGUCAUAGUUACUCUAAAGACACAAUGUGAUUUACUCCCAUUGCUUUCCAUGUCAAAGUGAAGAAAUUCAACCAAGCACGGGUAGACAAUGAGAGUAACUAUGACUCUCUUAAGGUAGCCAUAUGCAUCAUCAUAUAAUUAGUGAAGCGUAUGAAUGGAUCAUUAACGAUAUUCCACACUAUCCCUAGCUACUAUAUUCUAGUGAAACCACAUCCAAGGGAAUGGCCUUGCGAUAAUUAGCGGGGAAAGAAGACCAUGUUGAGCUUGACUCUAGUCCUAACCCAUUCAUAGUUUU